UAUAUUGUUUUAAACCUUAUAUUUAGGUUAUUCAGUGCAUCUCUAUUAGGUAUCCAGUGGCAAAGCUCACGCAAAGGAGAACAUCUCUAACACAAAGAGUCUUUAGGCUGUUGCCAGGGUUCUUUAGUGCUCUGUAUCCUCUCAUACUUUAUCCAAUUAUAAUUAAGAGGUAUUUUAAAUCUUCAAAGGAUUUUAUAAACCUUACCUAAUUAAUCUUUGCAACACCUCUAUGUGGCAGGUAAGCAUUCAUUAAUUCAUAAUUAGGCACCAGCUAAUCUUUUAAAUAAUUCACUUCAGAAAACCUAGAUGAAAAUAAUAAAAAAUUUGUUCCCCCUUUGCCAAAACAAUGGGACAAACCAUUAUUGUUUAAUCCAAUGAUGUCUCCUUCCAUUUAGUUGGAGUUUGGUGAAUCAACUAGUUUGAUUGAUUGAACACUCUAAGGUUCUUUAUAAUUGCACAAAGAAAUCAAGCUUGAUUGUUCUUGUCACUUGGGUAUUGCACUGAAAUUAUGCUGUAAAAAAUAAGUAGCACCAUAUGUGAGAAAUGCAUUGUUUUAGUUAGAUGGAGAUGGAAAGCUUUUUGGUAUACUGUUGGUUGGCAGCUAAACCAUUGUGAUUUUGCAUCUAUUAUCCACUCAAAACUUUAUUUUAGUUUUUUAAAUUUCUUUGUGGUAAGUUAAAGUAAAUAAGAUUUUUUUAUUUCAAUCUGGGGCCGAACUCCAAAGAAAUCACUUUAUGUCAGGAAUAUCUGUAGUAGCAAUUAAACUGCUGCCUGUCUUGUGUUUCUUUUAAGUACAUGCUUCUGAACAAUAGAGGCUGUAAUUGUAAUUUCUACAGAAGGCUCUUUGUAUGCCUGAAAAACAAACAAGAAAAACAAAACCUCUUCCUACCUACCAUUAUGAUUUGGAAUAAUCACGUAUGCAUGCAAAAAACAGAAUUACAAAUGAAAACAUGAAAUAAUACCUUGAAAGUGUCACUUCCUUUUAAGUUCAUAAAACAAUUGCAAAUUAAAGAAGGAUUGGAUCCAGAGCAAAAUAAAAAUUGAAACAAAAAAUUAAUAGUAUGCAGUUGAGCUGUUGUUAUUUUGAUUGUGAGUAUAAAAUGUUCUACAACAGGUUAAGUACAGGAGGAAAUUAACCUGAGUCUGGGAAAAAAUGAAUCUUCUCCAGGGGCUACAAUAGGAAGCAUUGUAGUCAGGUUACAUUUGACACGUUUUAACGUGGCCUUGUUUUAUACACUAGCAAUUAGCAUUUGAGCCUAUUUGAGUAUAUUAUAUAAAUAUAUGUAUAAUAUAUAUAUAAAGGUAAAUUUAUAUUGUUUAAAAUGUGACUGUAGAGAAAACACCAGCCCUGACUGCAUAACCUGUCCUUCUCAUGCCCCAUGGACAACUGUACCUGAAUUUAGAGCAUAUACACAUUUGGAGAUGAUAUUUCUCAUUUAAAGCAUGACAUUUCUGAAGAAGGAUUUUGGGAACGAUCUCGAUACACCAUCACAGGCAGGUGUUACCGGGCAUCUCCAAAACAGUGUCCUAUCCAUAACUGAUCUGCAGAAAUCCUUGCUGUGGCAUUGUGGCUGAUGAAAAAUCACAGUGACUGGACUGGCUCAUGGGAGAGGAAUCGCUUUGAAGUCUCACACAACCCAGGGCUAUGAAGUUGGUGAAGGGUUUGGAGGAGAAGCUGUAUGAGGAGCAGCUGAAGUCACUUGGUUUGUUUAGUCUGGAGGAGACUGAAGGGAGACCUCAUUGAGGUUACAGCUUCCUCACAAGGGGAGGAGGAAGGGCAGGCACCCAACUCUUCUCUUUAGUGACCAGUGACAGAACCCGAGGUGCCAGGGGAGGUUCAGGUUGGACAUGAGGAAAAGGUUCUUCACCCAGACGGUGCCGGACACUGGAACAGGCUCUCCAGGGAGGUGUCACAGCCCCAACCUGACAGUGUUCAAGAAGAGACUGAACAACAUCCUCAGUCACACGGUGUGAACUGUGGGGUUGUCACGUGCAGGAGCUGGACACGAUGAUCCUUGUGGGUCCCUUCCAACUCAGGACAUUCUAUGAUUCUAUAACCCAUACCUGACUCCAGAAACCCCUGAUUUCUGAAUGCAGCAGGUCUGCUCCCUCCUCCCACAAAAAAAGCAGCAGAACCUUCCAGGCUCAUGGACCACUAUGGUCAUGCACCCACCCCUUGAGUGACAGACAGGGCUUUUGACCAACAAGAUGCCUCAGUUGAGAGUAGUUUCUGGAGCAGCCCCAUAAAUGGCCCCAGCUGAGACAGGGUUGCUCUCCUGGGAGCAGUGGGUGUGAAGCUGGUGGCUUUGUUCCUCAGACUGGCCAUCUGAGGACUGUUCUUCAAGGACUGAGCUACCUCACCAACCUGGUAAAUACUUCAGUGAGCAGGCGGAACUCUGAUGCUCCAGUAUCAUAUAGCGUACAUAAAAUACAAUAUUCCUGGCUGUCUUGUUGAUGCUGAUAUGAGAGGAGCCUAUUUCGUCCCGCAGUUUUGAAGUCUUGCAAGAAAUAGAAGAUGAGAAAGGUAAUCGGGACACUUUUCCCAUGUCUUCUCCCUGACCAUAACCAGCAGAGCUCUCACUUCACCAGGAACAAGUAAAAACCCUCCAUCCCUCCUGCUUUGGGUUUAGGUUUAAUCUGGUCUGGUCAAUCAGGAUCCGUGCAGUGGUUUGGAAAAUAAUUUCUUCCCUUCUUCCCCAGCUCAGCAUUUAAGGGAAGGCUCCAGUAUUGUGUGGUGGUGGUGCAAGUUCAGCUCUGCUCUGCUCUCACCUCUCCAGUGUAGAGGAGAACAGAUACCGAGGUGAAGGCAACACGUGGGUGCAUCUUGCACGUACAGGAUCCCGAAAGAGAACGCUUUGCUGACACUGCCUCCUGUGUUCAGCACCUGCCUGUGCUUAAAGACAAGCCUGGUUUAAGCUCUAUAAACAGAGAUAAACUGAAAAAAAAACAACACCAAAUCUGCUGUGAUCAAAUCUGCUACUUCCAGCCUCGUACCUUGUUUACGGUUAUGCUUCUUGAUUCCACCUGCACUCGAGCGUGCCAUGCACAGAGACAUCACUCAUUCACCGCAGCUGGGAAACCUUGCCAAAAUAAGAAAUAAAAAAAUAAAACUCUGCAGGAAAUGUCGGUUAAGUUUUUGUGGCUUGGAUGUUGCAUAAUUUAACGGCCACACGCAAGUAGGAGAGCUUUUUUCUGCUUUGUGAAGUGGUUGAGAAACAAACGUAAUACAACUGCGAAAGAGGAUUGCAUUUCUAAUAUAUUUGCAUGUUGAGCUCCUUGAAAGAGCAGAGAAGCUUGAAAUGGCCUGGACAAGAAGCAAAAUGACUGCAGGAGGGAGAAAAGCUUGAGGAGGAGCUGGAAGAAGCCCCACUGCCAGCGCUCCUUUAGCUGCCCUGAGCUGGACCAAAAACAAAGCGUUUUGCACUGUGCAGAUCAGGUACCAGGAGCUGAAGUGACUUGAAAACUGGGGUCGUGGGACAGGUCAGAAACCAGUUGCCUUUCACGUGUUUUCAGCCACAAAUCCAACGUCCUUUCAACAAAAGGGAUUAGGAAAUGUUAUAAUUCUUCCCAUGGUGUUUGUAGCCAUGUGCUCUGGGAAGGAGAACACACCUUGCCAGACAUACCUGGACGUCUUGACACCCACAAGAUUGUCUACAGAAGAUGCCGCAAUGUCCUCACAUGAAAACAGGUUCUGUUUUCUGCUAUUAUCAGCAGGUCAGAUGCCGUCGUCUUCUCCUGAAGAGAUCAAUUUCCUUGAUGCCAGUAAAUGAAUGAAUUAAGACACCUCUGUGUCAAAAAUCAUCGCUGGUUUCUGGUAGUUCACGCUAACAAGAGGAAGGAAGGUGUCACUCCUCUAGAACGAAUGGCUGAAGACAGACAUACAGCACUUCAAAAGAAGCCGCCAUCUGGCUGGAGAUGCUCAUUAGUUGCUCUUGCUUUGGCUGCGGUGACAAAGACAUCAAUCUGGAUUUCGUAAUAAAAACAUAGAAAAUGGUGCAAGUGACAGACUACACGGGACUCAGUAUCUAUCGAAGCAUCCAAUUAAUGAACCAUUUUAGCCCUCUACCCAGAAUUCAUAAAUUCUGCAUAACCAACACUGCUAAGGCAACUGUGAAUAUAUGUGGAUGAGAUGGAGAUGAGCCCAGCAAAUGUACAGCAGUGGUUUCACAUCUUGCCUCAAACCUUUUUUUCUCAAGGCCGCCUAAGAGUUGAAAAGGAUACGUCAAAAUGUCUAGGCAAUGUUUGUGUGGAGUUGCAUGUCAAUAGAUAGGAUUAUUUAAGAUUUUUAAGUCUUUAACUUAUUAAUUACUUACAUAGUUUAGCACCCAUUUCAGCUUGAAAAAUUCAAAACAAAAUUAGGCUAAGAACAGGGUUUUAGACCGUGCACAUGCAAGUUGUUGAACUCAUUGCUCUCAGUUAAUAUACAGGGGAGGAGUUUAAAAGUAUUUAAACGGAAUGAUUAGCCAUUGGUACGGAUGGAGUGAGUGUUGACUGAACAUUAAAUAGAGACAUAAUGAAGGGGCUACAAACCCUUGUGCUUCAGGCCACAACAGUUAACUGCAGUGCUUAGCAGGAAAAUACUGUUAUGGCCGGGUCUUCCCAUCACCAGUGGGAUUAUUCUACUUUCUUCUGAAACAUCAAGCAAUGCCUAAAGCAGCAAAGGAUGCUGCAGUAGAUGGACCACAGAACAGUUGCGAUAUUCCAAAAGAGAAAUCUAGAAAAUCAAACCUCAUCACUUUAAACCUCUUAAUCUACCCUACCAUUUAUUCUGCCUAUUCUGUUUGUAAACUCCAUUAAAGUGCAUUAACGAACUAUAAUACUGAAGCCAGACAAGAAAUCUAAUUAUCCUUAGUCGCAAAGCACCAUAUGCUUCUUUUAACUUCAAAUAAUAGACUGAAGAACAUUAGUAUUUUAAAUGAAUCUUUGAUGAAGUUGAACAAGAGAGAGGAAAAAAAUAAGCUAACCAAUAUAUUCCAGAUACAUUGUUUUUUACUAGAUGGGUUUACUUUGUCACAUACUUAUUUUGCAGCAUACUAAAGGGUAAGUGAAAACAGGUGACAUGGUUAGUCACUUUUAUGUCAAACAUCAUUUUGCUUCCAGCUGUGGCCCUGAGGAAGUUUUUGUUCAGGGUUUGUUUGGGUUUUUUUUAAUUAUUAUUACUGUAUUUUUGGCAUACUCAUCUAGUUGCAAAAGCACCAGAUGUCUCCAUUGACUUUUUGAAUGAACAAGCAAACUAGAAAAUAAUAAUUUUAAACUCCUUCAUAUAUUGAACACACACAAAGGCUGCUCCUACUCUUCGGGAUUUGUUUCCCACUCUAAAAUGUUAUACUGCAAAAAAAAAAAUAAACAACACCCCAACCCACCCAAACAAAACAACCCCCAAAGCAAUACCUUGUUGCGGCCGAUGUCAAGUGUGGAUCCACUGGACUGAAGAUCCCUUAUUCAGAAGGAGUGAGGCCAACACGUUCUCUCCAUCCUGCUGGGUGUCUGUGAGGCCAAAUCAGCGCAGCCCAAGCCGGCACCUUCACCCAGGACAUCACACAAUUUUUUGCUGAAAAAAAAUGUUUUUGCGUAAUUUUUUUCUGCUCUUCAUCCUUUUCUGCAGCAUGAGCCUUAUGUCAAAUGUGUGUCCAUUUUUCCAGGGGUAUCUGCAAGGAGAUGAACCCUCUUUACAAAUGGCAACACUUAUGGUGAUUAAAAACAACGGUAUGGAAAAAUAGUUGCUUUAAAUUUUCUUUUUUCUUCCUUCCUUGUUCACAGGUUUUACAUGAGAGUUUCUGAGGGAGCCAAUGUAGUUUUACAGUUCUUUCUAUAAUCUGCAGCUACCAGAUAUUAUUUAAAUGCAUGACUAGUCUUUUAGAGUAAUCCAUAAAUAAAACAUAAACAAAUGGCUGUUUAGAAUAUUGAAGUUAGACUUUAACAAAAAAAAAAGGUCAUUUUAGAUACUUAGCAAGACUUGUUUUGUCUCCAGCUUGAAAGAAAACAGAAGCCAAUUGGCAUGUCCACAGAGGUAAUGAAGACAUAAAGACAUAUGCAUGGACUAUAAUGAGUACUGCUUUGUGAAGCCACUACAUGCUUUUCCAGGGGAUUAAUACAAGCCUGUAACUUUAACAGUGUCCUUGAAAGAAAAGUGAAAUAGUUGUGUGGAUAUUUUGGUGCCGGGCUUCUCUCCCUUUCUCUGUACUUCCCAAUCCAUUGCUCAUUGCGUAACACGUAGUUACCUGUGCUGAAAUUGCACUCCUAUUUAGGAAGGUACAGGUUUGGUAGAAAUCUUAUAAAUUGGAUAGACAUUUCAGAAAUUACACUUUUAUGUUACUGAUGUGGCAUGACGUGCUCAUUUCAGACGACGUGUCUUUGCCUUUAGGUACAACAUAAACGAUGUGCCUUUAUAGUUGAGAUUUAGGGAAAAGAAGAAAAAGGCCUUCAUACAUGCACACACAUUUGCUCUGGUUUUCUUUUAAAGGAUUACUCACAUUCUUUCCAAAAGAAGUUGGCAAUACUUUUUCUCAGAAAGGAAAUUAAUUAUAACAGCAACUUCUGGUUUCCUUAAAUAUAUUAGUACUUUAAUAUUUGAUAUUGGGUUAAGAUCUGAAAAGAGAAAUAAAAGCUGUUAAAUCUUUAACACAUCACUUCAAUUUCCUCAGAAAGUCUGGGAAAGCAAUUCCAUCUCUUCUAUUCAUUACACAAAGCAAAAGAGGAUUAUUUUAAAUGUGUUCAGAGACCUUAACUAUGCAAUAUCCUGGUGGAAUUUGCAUAUAGUGAAGAUUUGAGACCAAAUUCUGCUUUCAGAUAAAGCCAUAGUGAUAUCUUUGACUUCAAGACUGGUUUGACUGAAAGCAGAUCUUGUCCAUGUCCUGCUCUGGCAGUUUUUUUGGGCAAUAUCUCCUUCCCUGCUCAGAGACCUGUUUGGAUGGGUCAGUCCUGCUCCGAAUGGAGGCUCAGGGACCAUCAGUCAUCUGCAAUAUGUUGUCAUUCUGAGCGCAGCGAAGGAGUUUGGAAACUCGAUAAAUAAAUGUAAUAUUGGUUAGCUAAAGAAUUUUACUCAAAGCAAAAAUCCACACAUUAAUUUUUUUUUUAAUGGGUGCUAAGAAUGCCUGUUUCCAGUUUCACCCACAGAAGGAGAGGCGUAUCUGGCUAAUAUAAUUUCCAGACUGAAAAGAAAUAUUUUCCUAGCUAAGCAUUUCAUUUGGUUCCUGACAGUUCAUUCAAGAUCCUUUGGGUUUUCAUCUCUCCACUUCAAGUAUAUUAUUCCAGAUAAUAGCUACACUAUUUGCCAUUUUUAUCUCCUCCUCUCAGUGGUUCUAUAAAAGUGCUUUUUGAAUAUAUUGGUCUAAAGUGUUUCUUGCAGGGCUUUUGAGUGCACUGACAGGCACUCCAGCCAGUGGUGGCUGGAAGUGGGUCCUUAAGACACUUUUGACCUGUUUUUUUUCCCGUGUUAUCAACUACAAUUUCAUGUCCUCACUUUAAGAUUAAUCCAUCAAUACCAGUCUUAAUUGCGUUUCUUUAUAAAGUCUUUCUCCUGCAUCUUAUUUACAAUUAUUCCUUUGCAGCUGGCCUUGCUUUUUUGGACUGCAUGUUCAAUUUUCUUGGACUAAUGAACCUUGUAUCACAUCUGAAAUGUGGAACACACAGGGACGGUGACAGCAUCCCCCAGUGGGGACACCAUGGA